rnacentral:misc_RNA from 1 species
GGAAGGAUCAUUACUGAACAGAGAGGGGGUGGGGGAAGAUCUGAGGGACUGAGGGACUGUCGCUGGUGCUCUUGAUCGAGCACAUGUGCACGUCCUCUUGUCCUGACAUCGACCUCUGUCUCAUCUUCACACACCUGUGCACUUUUUGUAGGUCCUCGAAAGAGGAUCUAUGUCUUUAUCACAUCACACCCGUUGUAUGUCUAGAAUGAAUACACCAUGUAUUCGUAGACCCGUCGGAAGGCGGGAUCAGUCGAUAUAUGAUAACCAAUUACAACUUUCAGCAAUGGAUCUCUUGGCUCUCGCAUCGAUGACGAACGCAGCGAAUUGCGAUAAGUAAUGUGAAUUGCAGAUUUCCAGUGAAUCAUCGAAUCUUUGAACGCACCUUGCGCUCCUUGGUAUUCCGAGGAGCAUGCCUGUUUGAGUGUCAUUUAAUUAUCAACCAUGUUCUUGAUCGGACAUGGCUUGGACGUGGGUGCUGCUGGCUGCGAAAGUGGUCGGCUCUCCUUAAAUGAAUUAGCAAAAGGGGUGUGCCAUGGUCCUAUAGGACGUGCAACGGCCUUCGACGUGAUAAUGAUCGUCGUGGCUGGAGUGGUCCAUGUUUUGGAGCAUGCACAAGUAGCCUGUUUUGCUCCUAAUCCUAGAUCUUCUGGUAUCUGGCUGUCUGAGGCACUGCUGGCUACUGGCUACUAGCUUACUAGCUUACUAGCUCAUUAGUCUGAUGAGACGAACGGCGAACAGAGUGAACGGCGAACGCAGUUGAAGGGCUGAUGACAGAAGGAAAGUCAGAGCUUGAGAUCACAUUAUAUUGACUUGACCUCAAAUCAGGUAGGACUACCCGCUGAACUUAAGCAUAUCAAUAAGCGGAGGAAAAGAAACUAACAAGGAUUCCCCUAGUAACUGCGAGUGAAGCGGGAAAAGCUCAAAUUUUGAAUCUGGCGGUCGAUAGGCCGUCCGAGUUGUAAUCUAGAGAAGCGUCUUCCGCGCUGGACCGUGUACAAGUCUCCUGGAAGGGAGCGUCAUAGAGGGUGAGAAUCCCGUCUUUGACACGGACUGCCAGGGCUAUGUGAUGCGCUCUCGACGAGUCGAGUUGUUUGGGAAUGCAGCUCAAAAUGGGUGGUAAAUUCCAUCUAAAGCUAAAUACAGGCGAGAGACCGAUAGCGAACAAGUACCGUGAGGGAAAGAUGAAAAGAACUUUGGAAAGAGAGUUAAACAGUACGUGAAAUUGCUGAAAGGGAAACGCUUGAUGUCAGUCGCGUUGGCUGGGGAUCAACCUUGCUUCUCGCUGGGUGCACUUCCUGGCUGACGGGUCAGCAUCAGUUUCGAUCGCCGUACAAUGGUCAAGGGAAUGUGGCACUCUUCGGAGUGUGUUAUAGCCCAUGGUCGGAUGCGGUAAUGGGGACUGAGGAACUCGGCACGACCUCGAGUUUGUGUCUAGGAUGCUGGCAUAAUGGCCUUAAGCGACCCGUCUUGAAACACGGACCAAGGAGUCUAACAUGCCUGCGAGUGUUUGGGUGGGAAACCCUUGCGCGAAAUGAAAGUGAAAGUCGAGACCUCUGUCAUGGAGGGCACCGACGCCCGGACCUGAGUCUUUGACAAAGGAUCUGCGGUAGAGCAUGCAUGUUGGGACCCGAAAGAUGGUGAACUAUGCCUGAAUAGGGUGAAGCCAGAGGAAACUCUGGUGGAGGCUCGUAGCGAUUCUGACGUGCAAAUCGAUCGUCGAAUUUGGGUAUAGGGGCGAAAGACUAAUCGAACCAUCUAGUAGCUGGUUCCUGC